UCCAGGGUUUCAGUGAUCUCAGACAUGCAGGCUGACGGCUCCAGGAUAAGCCCGACCUGUCACCGUCCCACCCCACCGCACUCCCUGGCCGGCCGGAGGAGUUUGUCCGCUGAGAAAGAAAAAGGCACAGCACCGGGAACUAUCGGUCAGCACUUCACCCUCGAGUCAGGCCCUCAGCUUUUGUCCAUCUUACCCACUCUGGCAGAUCAGAAAUAUCUCAGGAAGAUGGAAGGAUAUCAGUCAAAGAAAAAUUGUUCUUAUCAUUACCCCUAAUAGCUCCAUGGCAGAGACUCAGCAACAAGAGUUUGGCUUUUGGGGCUCAGGCUGUGAUGAAGAGCAUCUCACAAGCAUCUCUGCAGCUGCACAUUGCUCUUAUUGGUAGCACUUGUGAGACCCAGAACACUUUGGCCACAGCUCUGUAAUGUGCACACCCCUCAAAGUUGCAGAAGCUUCACCCCACAUUCUGGUUUGGCAAAAAUCCACUUUCUUCAACAGCAGUGGUCUAGCUGGAAUCAGGGAACCCAUUAGUGCCAUCCCAAACUGAUCUGUCCUAACGAAAAAAAAGUGUUAAAAAAGCAAGUUAAAGCAAAAAGAAACAACAAAUUAAAAUUACUUUCCCUUGAGAGUUUAAACAAGUGAAAAUAUCUUGAGACUAUUUUAAUGAGCACCCGGUGACUGUGUGAAUCAACCCAUCCAGGUAACCAUGGUGACCCCAAACUGCAGCUGAGAUACAAAGAUUGGGGUCUUAUCAUUACCUGGCUAACAAUGUUGGACAGCAGACACACGUGGGGACACGGGCUGCCUUGGGCUCAGUUCACCCUUGCAGGCUGCAGUGGAGCAGAGGGGUAGGUACUGCAUGCUCCAAAGGGCUUCUCAGACAUGCAAUUUAUCACAAGGCUCUGCCUUUAGGAUCUCCCUCUCUUUCUUCUUCUCUCCCCUCNNNNNNNNNNNNNNNNNNNNAGGAAGCUCAAGUGUAUCUCUGAGAGUUAUCUCCCCACAGGAAUUCCACCUCUCAAAACAGGCAGAGGAAGAACAAUACUAGCCAUAAAAGACAGAGCUUUCCCACACUGACAUUCUUAGCAUUCCCAGCUGCAAGGUCAGUUUGAGAGAAGCUAUUACAUCCUCUUUGUCAAAUCGUCUGGUUUUAACCCUUUCCUCCCAAGAGUGACAUAUGCACUGAGCUGGUGACAAGUCACAGAAUCAGAGUACAUCUGCCUUAGGCACCAUGAGAGAAGAGCAGAGGAUGCCCACACAUUUUCCCAUGCCAUGUUGU
rnacentral:lncRNA from 1 species